CGCGAACCGCUGCCAUGUCCGGUCCGGUUAGAUCUAAAAACCCAAAAACGCCAAAAAACCGGGUCAACUAUCAAAAUCCCGGUUCGACCGGUAAGAACCGGAAAACCCGGAACCCAGUCGUAGAACCGGGUUUUAGCUAAAAAAUACAUGUCUUGGCCGGAUCUGCGUCGAUGGUGGCUGAAUCUCGUCGGAGAAGGACAGAAGGUUGUAGAUGAACAGAUCUAGACGGAUCUUAGUCGUAUGUGGCACAAUAGAAGUGAUGGCCGCCAUAUCUAUCGACUGAAGAAAAUGAAAGGAUGAAGGUGAAAGUUAAAAUGAAUAGAAAAAUUAAAACGAAGUGGAGAAAUGUGGCGGCGGUGAGAAGAAAGAACUGGGAAGAAAGAAAGGAAGAAGAAGAAGAAAAGAAGAAAAGAAGAAAUAAAGAAAAGAAGAAAGAGAGUAG
rnacentral:lncRNA from 1 species